AUUGAACGCUGGCGGCAUGCUUUACACAUGCAAGUCGAACGGUAACAGGCCGCAAGGUGCUGACGAGUGGCGAACGGGUGAGUAAUGCAUCGGAACGUGCCCAGUCGUUGGGGAUAACUACUCGAAAGAGUAGCUAAUACCUCAUACGAUCUAUGUAUGAAAGCGGGGGUCCGUAAGGCUUCGCGCGAUUGGAGCGGACGAUGUCAGAUUAGGUAGUUGGUGGGGUAAAGGCUCACCAAGCCGACGAUCUGUAGCGGGUAUGAGAGGACGGCCAGCCACACGGGGAGUGAGACAGGGCCGAGACACCUAGGGGGGGAAGCAGUGGGGAAUUUUGGAGGAUGGGGGCAAGCCGGAUCCAGCAAUGCGGCGUGCAGGAAGAAGGACUUCGGGUGGGAAAGUGCUUUUGUACGGAGCGAAGCGGAUCUGGUUAAUACGCGAGGCUAAUGACGGUACCGUAAGAAUAAGCACCGGCUAACUACGUG
rnacentral:rRNA from 1 species